AACGCACAUUGCGCCCCCUGGUAUUCCGGGGGGCAUGCCUGUCCGAGCGUCAUUGCUGCCCUCAAGCACGGCUUGUGUGUUGGGCCACCGUCCCUCCCCCCGGGGGGGGGACGGGCCCGAAAGGCAGCGGCGGCACCGCGUCCGGUCCUCGAGCGUAUGGGGCUUUGUCACCCGCUCUUUAGGACUGGCCGGCGCUUGCCGGCGUCUCAAACCCCAUCUUCCUUUUCAGGUUGACCUCGGAUCAGGUAGGGAUACCCGCUGAACUUAA
rnacentral:misc_RNA from 1 species